GGUCAAAACAUGCAUGAGGAGACUGCUACUAGGCCUAUGAGCGUUCCGAGCUCCGUUGCCGCUACGACUACACAGUCCACAGCUACGGACCACAAUUCAGCCGAGCUACAAGUGUCAUAUUCUUCAAGCUCUGCAGGUACUGAUUCCUUCGCCGCGUUAAUGCCGAUUAAGUACGUUUUACUGGAAAAUUUGUUCAUUCGAAGGCAUACGAAGUCGAAUGAUUGAGAUUAUUUCCAAAAAGGAGCUUCUGCCCAGAUAUUUUAUUAGGUCAAGUGGAUGUGCAAUGGAAAAGUUGAAGCCACUGUUUUGGAUCAUCCGCCAUUGUAGUAAAUGCCAUAACCAGCAAGUUUCGUCAAAAAUAAAUGGAUAAAAAUGCUU